ACGGAGUUAGCCGAGGCUUCCUCGAGGGGUACCGUCAUUAUCGUCCCCUCAACAGAGGUUUACAUCCCGAAGGACUUCAUCCCUCACGCGGCGUCGCUGCGUCAAGCUUUCGCCCAUUGCGCAAAUUUCUAGA
rnacentral:rRNA from 1 species